GCUCAUUAACACGUGAAUAACCUGCCCUAUGCUCUGGAAUAACCUUGGGAAACUGAAAAUAAUACCGGAUAGAUCACACCGCCUGGAACGGUGUGUGGUUGAAAGGUCACGGAAUAGGAUGGGUCUGCGGCUUAUCAGGUCGUAGGGGGUGUAACGAACCUCCUACCCAUCGACGCGUACGGGUUGUGGAAGCAAUACCCCGAAGAUGGAUUCUAAGACACGAAUCCACACCCUACGGGGUGCAGCAGGCGCAAAACUUUUACACUGUACGCAAGCGCAAUAAGGGGACCCCAAGUGCGAGGGCAUAUAUUCUUCUUUUUUCCCGACUGUAAGGCGGUCGAGGAAUAAGGGCUGGGCACGACCGGUGCCAGCCGCCGCGUUAAUACCGGCAGC
rnacentral:rRNA from 1 species